UGGGCUUGAAACGCAGUAGACCGGUUAUGAAAAUAACCUUUCCUUCGGGACUGCUGUACAGGUGCUGCAUGGCUGUCGUCAGCUCGUGCCGUGAGGUGUUGGGUUAAGUCUCGCAGCGAGCGCAACCCUUACCAUUAGUUGCCAUCAGGUUAAGCUGGGCACUCUAAUGGGACUGCCUACGUAAGUAGUGAGGAAGGUGGGGACGACGUCAAGUCAGCAUGGCCCUUACGCCCAGGGCUACACACGUGCUACAAUGGGUACCACAACGGGUUGCCAAGCCGCAAGGUGGAGCUAAUCCCUCAAAGGUAUCCUCAGUUCGGAUUGGAGUCUGCAACUCGACUCCAUGAAGU
rnacentral:rRNA from 1 species